UACGACGUAUCAGAGUUUGAUCCUGGCUCAGGAUGAACGCUGGCGGCGUGCUUAACACAUGCAAGUCGAACGGAACUUGUUGGAUCAAGACUUCGGUCAAGUGAAUUCAAGUUUAGUGGCGGACGGGUGAGUAACGCGUGAGGAACCUGCCUCGGAGUGGGGAAUAACAGUUGGAAACAGCUGCUAAUACCGCAUGAUGUGUACGGAUCGCAUGGUCUGUACACCAAAGAUUUAUCGCUCUGAGAUGGCCUCGCGUCUGAUUAGCUUGUUGGCGGGGUAACGGCCCACCAAGGCGACGAUCAGUAGCCGGACUGAGAGGUUGGCCGGCCACAUUGGGACUGAGACACGGCCCAG
rnacentral:rRNA from 1 species